rnacentral:rRNA from 1 species
AUUGAACGCUGGCGGCAUGCCUUACACAUGCAAGUCGAACGGCAGCACGGGUGCUUGCACCUGGUGGCGAGUGGCGAACGGGUGAGUAAUACAUCGGAACGUACCUUAUCGUGGGGGAUAACGCAGCGAAAGCUGUGCUAAUACCGCAUACGCCCUGAGGGGGAAAGCGGGGGAUCGCAAGACCUCGCGCGAUUAGAGCGGCCGAUGCCUGAUUAGAGUGUUGGUGGGGUAAAAGCCCACCAAGGCGACGAUCAGUAGCUGGUAUGAGAGGACGGCGAGCCAGACUGGUGCGGAGACACGGCCCAGAAGCCUACGGGAGGCAGCAGUGGGGAAUGUUGGACAGUGGGGGCAACCCUGAUCCAGCAAUGCCGCGUGAGUGAAGAAGGCCUUCGGGUUGUAAAGCUCUUUUGUCAGGGAAGAAACACCGGCUCUAACACAGUCCGGGAAUGACGGUACCUGAAGAAUAAGCACCGGCUAACUACGUGCCAGCCGCCGCAGUAA